AGAGUUUGAUCCUGGCUCAGAACGAACGCUGGCGGCGUGGAUAAGACAUGCAAGUCGAACGAUCACUGUUGAGUAGCAAUAUUUGGUAGUGAGAGUGGCGAAAGGGUGCGUAAUACGUGGGUAAUUUGCCGUAGAGUCUGGAAUAACUUGCCGAAAGGUAAGCUAAUACUGGAUGACAUUUCCGGGAGGCAUCUUCUGGAACUUAAAGUUGGGGACCGUAAGGCCUGACGCUCUUCGAUAAGCCCGCGGCCUAUCAGCUAGUUGGUGGGGUAACGGCUCACCAAGGCUAAGACGGGUAGCUGGUCUGAGAGGACGACCAGCCACACUGGAACUGAGACACGGUCCAGACACCUACGGGUGGCAGCAGUCGAGAAUUUUUCACAAUGGGCGAAAGCCUGAUGGAGCGACGCCGCGUGGGGGAUGAAUGGCUUCGGCCCGUAAACCCCUGUCAUUUGCGAUCAAACCUUACGAUCUAAUAAGUCGUGAGCUGAUAGUAGCGAAAGAGGAAGGGACGGCUAACUCUGUGCCAGCAGCCGCGGUAAUACAGAGGUCCCAAGCGUUGUUCGGAUUCACUGGGCGUAAAGGGUGCGUAGGCGGUCGGGUAAGUCUGAUGUGAAAGCUCGGAGCUCAACUCCGAAAUGGCAUCGGAAACUAUUCGGCUCGAGGAAUGGAGGGGAGACUGGAAUACUUGGUGUAGCAGUGAAAUGCG
rnacentral:rRNA from 1 species